CUUCAAGAACAUAACUUCUAACAAAACUACAGACUGACCUAUGUGGGUGGAAGACACCAUGAGAAUACAGCCGUUUACAAGCCAGAAAGUGGAUCUUCACCAGAACCUGACAGUGCCAACACCCUGAAGGUGGACUUCCAGCUUCCAGAACUGUGAGCAAGUCUUCUUUAAAUCCUCUCAAAGAGAGCUGCAUUUCCCAACCGAGGCACAUGAGAGACUCUGCAGACCCAGCAGGAAAUCUCUAACUG